AUGAUGAAGAGAAGGUUCACUAGAGGCGGACUGAAGGUUGUUAUAUCUCCGUCGAGGUUGAAGCGAAAGAGAGAUGAAGUACUCUUCGUUCCUCUAUCGAACUCCAACGGCCACGAACCCUAUCCUCUCAAGAAAAACGCACCGUUUUAUCAUCUUUUCCUUUGUAUAUUAUUAUUGAUUUUUCAAUUGCUGAUAAAUGUUGAAUGUGGUCAGCAUAGCUAUCAGCUUUGGAUAGGUGAUUGA